rnacentral:lncRNA from 1 species
AGAGUGUUGAAUUGGAGGAUGAUAUGGUACGAGAAGAUGAUUUACCUGAGGCUGAUAUGGCAGUUGAAAGUUCAGCCAUAGCUCAAGCUUUACUUACACACUUAAGUGGAACACAAGAACUUGCUGGAGAAGAAAAUUACGUUCCAUCAGUUCAUGGUAUUUUACAUGGUUGAUCAUCAUUACUGUUUAUAUGUUUAAAAAUCAAGAUCUGCAUUAUGAAGUUUGGAAACCAUCGAAUAGAAACACGAGCAAAAAUCUUUAAACAUGUUUGUCUUAGCGUUUAAGUUCGCAAACAAUUUAUCGCAAAGAUAAAUUGUUUGCAUUUUUAACAAUUAAUGUUAGUUUACUUUAGCGUUCUGUUUUUGCGUGUUAUGAAUUUCUUGUUUAUAAUUUUUAAACGCUUAAGAAACAUUAAUGUUAAAUAUAUAUGAAAAAGUUUACGUU